rnacentral:rRNA from 1 species
AUGUACAUUCCUACAACAUAGCGUUAAUGCACCAGAUCCCAUUAGAACUCCCCAGUUUAGCACGCUCGGGCUAGAGUAGUACCAGGAUGGGUGAUCGCUCAGGAAGUCCUAGUAUUUUACAUG